rnacentral:rRNA from 1 species
AACGAACGCUGGCGGCAUGCCUAACACAUGCAAGUCGAACGAUAUCUUCGGGUCUAGUGGCGCACGGGUGCGUAACGCGUGGGAAUCUGCCCUUUGGUUCGGAAUAACAGUUGGAAACGACUGCUAAUACCGGAUGAUGACGAAAGUCCAAAGAUUUAUCGCCAGAGGAUGAGCCCGCGUAGGAUUAGCUAGUUGGUGUGGUAAAGGCGAACCAAGGCGACGAUCCUUAGCUGGUCUGAGAGGAUGAUCAGCCACACUGGGACUGAGACACGGCCCAGACUCCUACGGGAGGCAGCAGUGGGGAAUAUUGGACAAUGGGCGAAAGCCUGAUCCAGCAAUGCCGCGUGAGUGAUGAAGGCCUUAGGGUUGUAAAGCUCUUUUACCCGGGAUGAUAAUGACAGUACCGGGAGAAUAAGCUCCGGCUAACUCCGUGCCAGCAGCCGAAGUAA